GUAUUCAUCUUUUGCAAAUCUUUUCAAGGGUUUUAUAUCUAUAUAUCUUUAUUCUUAAUCAAAAUCAGAUUUUUGGCUAGAUUUCAUCCUACAAUUUGGUAUCAGAGCUUGGUAAUCGAAUUUGGGAUUCAACAAUCUCCAAAUUCAUCAUAAAAAUCUGAUUUUUAUUUGAAAAAGUUUUGAAACUUUUAGGGUUUUUGAUUUUAUUCACUUUUUCUUCAAAAAUCUUAUUUUUUUAAAAGGUUUAAAUUAUGUGUUUGCUGAUUGUGAGUUGAGACUAGUAUUAUUUGAAAGAUUCAUAGUGACUUUUAUAUCAUUUAAAGAGGUUUCGUCUCAAAUCAGAUGCGAUUUUAUUUUGAAUAUAGCGACUUUCCGGCGAAAUUAACUUUUCUGGCGAAUUUUUUCGGCGACUUUAAAUCUUGAACGCGAGUUCAAGUUCUCCGGCGUAUUUAGUAAAUUCCCCGGUAAGUCACAUUUUCCGGAGUCGUUAUUCUGACCAAUUUUUUUGCCAGCGUAGUUACAGAAAGGUGUAGAAGUAGAUUCAGUUUUUAUUUAUUAAUUAAAAAAAAACAAGCUCAGAUAUUCAAGAACAAACAAAACACAGUUCUGUAUCAAAAACCCCAACCCGGAGCCCCACCAGAGAACCCGCACCAUUUCUACAAUCACCGUCUCCUCUCCGUAAAAAUCCGACAACCACCCACUCGAACCCCAACCACCGCUGAAACCGCCACAACCACUCCAUCUCCGCUGCAAGGUCAUAACCACUCCACCACCAUUCCCGUUUCACCAUCGACGUACCUCCGACCAACUGCGCCGUACACCUGUUUCAACCACAGCCACCUCUGCUGCAAACAACCACCAUCUCCUCCGAUUCACCUCUGUCUCCACCAUCUUCACCACACCUUAUAUCCGCCAUCCUCCAACCACCCACCACAGACGACCACCGCUAUACACCCCCCCCACCGUCAGAUAUCUCCUUUACCUGCACACUCGUCACUCUAUCGCCGCCGUCGAUCUCACCACCUCCGCCGCGAACAACACUGCAUCACCACCACUUAUCUCCGAUCAAUACCCAUCGACCACCACAACCGUUAGAAUAGAAAGAAAGGGUUUUCUUUUUGUUUUGUAGAGAGAGAUGAUAGUUUGCAGUAACUUGAAAUUGAAGAGGAUUGCAGGGUUUGAGUUUUCGUAGAGAGAGAGAGAGAGAGAGAGGCUGAUAAAGUGAGUGAUGGCUGUGUGAAAAGUUUUUUAGGGUUUGGGAGUUUUGGUUGGUGUGAAAUAGAUAAGAAAUGAAUUUUGAAAAGCUCAACAAAUUCAACUGAAUUUGUCGUCUGAUGUCCGGUAUUU
rnacentral:lncRNA from 1 species